UGAACGCAAGUUGCGCCCGAGGCCACCCGGCCGAGGGCACGCCUGCCUGGGCGUCACGCACCGCGCUGCCCGCACCCCGACGGGGCGACGGGCGGAGAUUGGCCGACCGUGCGCCUCGCGCGCGCGGCGGGCUGAAAGCUUAUGUCGGAUGAGUGCCCCCGGAGGGGCGUCGGCACGGCGUUGGGUGGUCUCGAGGGGCUCCCCGGAGGAGCCGCUCCGAUCGGACGCCGCGCGCGCCGCCCGCUCCGAGGGGACGUGAGGCGCCUCCCCCACCGGUUGGACUGCGUCGCGACCCCAGGUCAGGCGGGGACACCCGCCGAGUUUA
rnacentral:rRNA from 1 species